UGGGGGAUAUUGCACAAUGGGCGAAAGCCUGAUGCAGCGACGCCGCGUGGGGGAUGAAGGCUUUCGGGUUGUAAACCUCUUUCGCUAUCGAACAAGGCCCGCUUAGGGUGGGUUGAGGGUAGGUGGAGAAGAAGCGCCGGCUAACUACGUGCCAGCAGCCGCGGUAAUACGUAGGGCGCGAGCGUUGUCCGGAAUUAUUGGGCGUAAAGGGCUUGUAGGCGGCUUGUUGCGCCUGCUGUGAAAACGCGGGGCUUAACUUCGCGCGUGCAGUGGGUACGGGCAGGCUUGAGUGUGGUAGGGGUGACUGGAAUUCCAGGUGUAGCGGUGGAAUGCGCAGAUAUCUGGAGGAACACCGAUGGCGAAGGCAGGUCACUGGGCCAUUACUGACGCUGAGGAGCGAAAGCAUGGGUA
rnacentral:rRNA from 1 species